CUGCAUUUCUAAAACCCCCUGGUGUCUAAUGUGUAGACUACAGGACAAGAAGGAAUGCUACAAAAAAAAACAAGAGAUUUCCAAAAGGCAAAGACUUAUCCUUGUCUUUUCCUUAUUUCACCUCUUGCACAUUA